AUGCUUGCUACGGCAGCACAGAUACUAAAAUUGGACCGAUACAGAGAAGAUUAGCAUGGCCCCUGCAAAGGAUGACAUACAAAUUCUUGAAGCAUAAAAAAGAAAA